UCAGGGUGAAGAGUUUGCUGGUUUGGAAUCUUGUGCCUUAAAGGUACUGGCAGAGGAUCAUCAAAGAGGUCACUGUCAUCGUCCUCCUCUGUGGGAUAAACAGAACAGCAUGCUGCACUAGCCUGGAGUGAGCCCCGUCCACUUACAUUCUGAAAAUGAGGACCUUACGUGGAGGAUGAAAUUUACAUAAAUUAAAAUGACAUGGCACGGAACUGGGGGGAAGACAGAUACUUUCCUGCGCCCUAAUGGCACCUAACCUAACCUCGAAGAAGGAAAUAAAAUGCUCAUGAGGCUACUUACUGUAGAGGGCAGCUUAUGUUCUAGUGCAGAACCUUGUGUUAAGAAGCAGGUAAUUAUAAGUUAACUGUUUUCCCACUGAUAAAGGAUGUAGCUUAAAACUGCAUUUUUAAAAGCUGCUUUUAAAGGGAGGCGGAUGGGGAAUAGAAACCGUCAUCCAGCUCCCAUUUUACCAGUGAGGAGGGAGGCCCGGAGAAGAUGUGUGACAGUGUGCAGUCAGGAGACCGAAGUCCAGUGUUCUGUAUUACAACUACAGUUGUUUAAACAAACAGCUAUUUAUCUUCUUUUCUAAAGGACUUAAGGUGACUAAGAUGUCUAGGGUCUAUACUCGGAGUCACCCUGGUCUCCAAAUUAUGGCUUCAUUUAUGAGCCACGGAUUAAUUUGUUAUAGCUCCUCCACUAAUGUGCCAGUUACCUUUCUGUGGAACUUUUCUGUAUCACCUCUAAGUUGGACAGUUUCAUGUUCUUCUGGAUCAGUGACUAUACCAGUAUCGUGGUAUGUUUCAACUGUAAAAAUAAUCUGUCAAAACAUUUUCACAUUAACUCACCUGUAUGUAUCUGAAAAAAAAGUAAAGUUUCUAUACUAUUAGAAGUU